CUUGGAAACAAGAGCUAAUACCAGAUGGUCUUCUUGGCUGCAUGACCGACAAGGAAAAAACGCGUUCGCGUCGGUGUCGGAUGACCCCGCGGCGCAUUAGCUAGUUGGUGAGGUAACGGCCCACCAGGGCCACAAUGCGUACCCAACCUGAGAGGGUGACCGGCCACACUGGGACUGACACACGGCCCACACUCCUACGGGAGGCAGCAGGAGGGAAUCUUCCACAAUGGGCGAAAGCUUGAUGGAGCAACGCCGCGGGAGUGAUGAAGGCCUUCGGGUGGUAAAACUCUGUCAUUCAGGACCAACCGGAGUCUGAGGAAAUGAAUACUCUCUGACGGUGCGGAGGAGGAAGCCGCGGCUAACUACUUGCCAGCCGCGGCGGUACUACGUAGGGGNGAGGGCGUCCGGAUUCAUUGGGCGUAGAGCGCACGCAAGUUUGAUAUAAGUCUGAUGUGAAAACCCGUACUUCACUUCGGGACNGCGUUGGAUACUGCGUCAUUAAGGAUAUGAGAGACAAAGGAAUUCCCCGUGUAUCGGUGAAAUGCGUAAAGAUCUCAGAACACCUGUGGCGACGCCCUUGUUGCCUAUUUCUGA
rnacentral:rRNA from 1 species